rnacentral:rRNA from 1 species
AUUGAACGCUGGCGGCAGGCCUAACACAUGCAAGUCGAGCGAGCGGCGGACGGGUGAGUAAUGUGUGGGAACCUGCCAGAUGGGGGGGGAUAACUACUGGAAACGGUAGCUCCUACCGCGUACCAUUGGAUGUGGCCAGAUGGGAUUAGCUAGUAGGUGGGGUAACGGCUCACCUAGGCGACGAUCCCUGGCUGGUCUGAGAGGAUGACCAGCCACACUGGAACUGAGACACGGUCCAGACUCCUACGGGAGGCAGCAGUGGGGAAUAUUGCACAAUGGGCGCAAGCCUGAUGCAGCCAUGCCGCGUGUGUGAAGAAGGCCUUCGGGUUGUAAAGCACUUUCAGCGGGGAGGCGUUACCCGCAGAAGAAGCACCGGCUAACUCCGUGCCAGCAGCCGCGGUAAUAC